GAGACGGUUCUCUAAGAGGCCCGUCAUCGAAAUGGGUACAAUUUAAAUCCUUUAACGAGGAUCUAUUGGAGGGCAAGUCUGGUGCCAGCAGCCGCGGUAAUUCCAGCUCCAAAAGCGUAUAUUAAAGUUGUUGCGGUUAAAAAGCUCGUAGUUGGAUCUGCGCCUUAGGUUGGUGGUCCCCCAAAAGGGUGGUACUGCCGUACCUGGGCUAUUGGUCUGGUUUUCCCUUGGUGCUCUUUACCGGGUGCUCUGGGUGACUGGAACGUUUACUUUGAAAAAAUUAGAGUGCUCAAGGCAGGCAGUUUGCCUGAAUAGUGGUGCAUGGAAUAAUAGAAUAGGACUUCGGUUCUAUUUUGUUGGUUUUCGGAACUCGAGGUAAUGAUUAAGAGGGACAGACGGGGGCAUUCGUAUUGCGACGUUAGAGGUGAAAUUCUUGGAUCGUCGCAAGACGCACAACUGCGAAAGCAUUUGCCAA
rnacentral:rRNA from 1 species